CGGAACGUGCCCAGUAGCGGGGGAUAACUACGCGAAAGCGUAGCUAAUACCGCAUACGCCCUUAGGGGGAAAGCAGGGGAUCGCAAGACCUCGCACUAUUGGAGCGGCCGAUAUCGGAUUAGCUAGUUGGUGAGGUAAUGGCUCACCAAGGCCGCGAUCCGUAGCUGGUUUGAGAGGACGACCAGCCACACUGGGACUGAGACACGGCCCAGACUCCUACGGGAGGCAGCAGUGGGGAAUUUUGGACAAUGGGGGAAACCCUGAUCCAGCCAUCCCGCGUGUGCGAUGAAGGCCCUCGGGUUGUAAAGCACUUUUGGCAGGAAAGAAACGGCGCGUGCUAAUACCAUGCGCAACUGACGGUACCUGCAGAAUAAGCACCGGCUAACUACGUGCCAGCAGCCGCGGUAAUACGUAGGGUGCAAGCGUUAAUCGGAAUUACUGGGCGUAAAGCGUGCGCAGGCGGUUCGGAAAGAAAGAUGUGAAAUCCCAGGGCUCAACCUUGGAACUGCAUUUUUAACUACCGGACUAGAGUAUGUCAGAGGGAGGUGGAAUUCCACGU
rnacentral:rRNA from 1 species